UCCCCCUAUCGAGGGCAGUCUCGUCUGAAAAAUCCAACAGACGACGAGGGUUUCGCUCGUUUACCCACUUAAGGGUACAGCUCACGCCACGAGCUGACGACAGCCGUGCAACACCUGUCUUGCCGUUCCCUUACGGGCACGGUCCUGUUUCCAGGACGUUCGGCAGAUGUCAAACCCUGGUAAGGUUCUCCGGUUAUCGUCGAAUUAAACCACAUGCUCCACCGCUUGUGCGAGCCCCCGCCAAUUCCUUUGAGUUUUAGUCUUGCGACCGUAGUUCCCAGGUGGCACACUUAACGCGUUAGCUUCGCUACAAGAAGGGUCGAUACUUCUGAUAGCUAGUGUGCAUCGUUUACGGCGUGGACUAC
rnacentral:misc_RNA from 1 species